UCAUCNNAAAAAAGUCAUCAACAACAAAGUUGAACAACUCAUCAAGAUCUAAAACUUUUAUUUUGGUCAUUUCUUCAUACGACAAAGUGAUAGUAACAUUGUUCACAAAAUUGACAUAUCUCUUAUCUGGUUUUAUAAACUAUAACACAUAUAUGUAAAAUUUGUGAAUAAUAUUACUAACAUUUCGUCAGAUGAAGAAAUAACAAAAAUAAAAGUUUUAGAUCUUGAUGAGUUAUUCAACUUUGUUGUUGAUGACUUUUUCAGUUGA
rnacentral:pre_miRNA from 1 species